CUUCGGACUCAACCCUCCGCUCGCCUCUUCAACAGUUUCUGCUGCAUUAGCGUUAUUAUUGGCAACUGGGGGGUUACGUCGUCUCGCCCUUCCUGCUUCCAGGCCUAGAGUGGACAUCCUGUCUAGGAAUGACUUUUCAUCUUCAAGGUUCGCCUCUGUGCCCUCCAGAUCGGCCACCAUUGUGUCUGGCAUAUAUCCUGGUCUGUUUUCGACGUCUGCGGAUGACGACCUGGUUCAGAGUUAUUAUGAAAAGAAGACUGCUAUACACAGCUGUACAGUGAUGCAGAAUGCUGGUUACAUACCUGUUUGGAGUACUGACCUGGGUGUUUACAGAUGUUUACUGGUUGAAUAGCAUACCUGACGAGGCACAUAUUUGUGACUCAUUUUGAUUACUUUGGGAUACUGCUACCCUGCCGUAUGCCCUUUUCUUGCCAUUGACUCUUUUGAUACACAAAUAGGUGACUGUGAAUAUCUGCGAAGAACAUUCAGCCUACAUCUAAAAAAUUCCCAUUAAAGGACUGAAAGUAUCAUCUUAA